rnacentral:rRNA from 1 species
GUGACCUCAAAUCAGGUAGGACUACCCGCUGAACUUAAGCAUAUCAAUAAGCGGAGGAAAAGAAACUAACAAGGAUUCCCCUAGUAACUGCGAGUGAAGCGGGAAAAGCUCAAAUUUAAAAUCUGGCGGUCUUUGGCUGUCCGAGUUGUAAUCUAGAGAAGUGUUAUCCGCGCUGGACCGUGUACAAGUCUCCUGGAAUGGAGCAUCAUAGAGGGUGAGAAUCCCGUCUUUGACAUGGACUGCCAGGGCUUUGUGAUGCGCUCUCAAAGAGUCGAGUUGUUUGGGAAUGCAGCUCAAAAUGGGUGGUAAAUUCCAUCUAAAGCUAAAUAUUGGCGAGAGACCGAUAGCGAACAAGUACCGUGAGGGAAAGAUGAAAAGAACUUUGGAAAGAGAGUUAAACAGUACGUGAAAUUGCUGAAAGGGAAACGCUUGAAGUCAGUCGCGUCGUCCAGGGAUCAACCUUGCUUUUGCUUGGUGCACUUUCUGGUUCGAUGGGUCAGCAUCAAUUUUGACUGUUGGAAAAAGGUCAAGGGAAUGUGGCAUCUUUGGAUGUGUUUAUAGCCCUUGGUCACAUACAAUGGUUGGGAUUGAGGAACUCAGCACGCCGCAAGGCCGGGUUUAAACCACGUACGUGCUAGGAUG